rnacentral:rRNA from 1 species
AAAUUGAAGAGUUUGAUCAUGGCUCAGAUUGAACGCUGGCGGCAGGCCUAACACAUGCAAGUCGAACGGUAACAGGAAGCAGCUUGCUGCUUUGCUGACGAGUGGCGGACGGGUGAGUAAUGUCUGGGAAACUGCCUGAUGGAGGGGGAUAACUACUGGAAACGGUAGCUAAUACCGCAUAACGUCGCAAGACCAAAGAGGGGGACCUUCGGGCCUCUUGCCAUCGGAUGUGCCCAGAUGGGAUUAGCUAGUAGGUGGGGUAACGGCUCACCUAGGCGACGAUCCCUAGCUGGUCUGAGAGGAUGACCAGCCACACUGGAACUGAGACACGGUCCAGACUCCUACGGGAGGCAGCAGUGGGGAAUAUUGCACAAUGGGCGCAAGCCUGAUGCAGCCAUGCCGCGUGUAUGAAGAAGGCCUUCGGGUUGUAAAGUACUUUCAGCGGGGAGGAAGGCGAUAAGGUUAAUAACCUUGGCGAUUGACGUUACCCGCAGAAGAAGCACCGGCUAACUCCGUGCCAGCAGCCGCGGUAAUACGGAGGGUGCAAGCGUUAAUCGGAAUUACUGGGCGUAAAGCGCACGCAGGCGGUCUGUCAAGUCGGAUGUGAAAUCCCCGGGCUCAACCUGGGAACUGCAUUCGAAACUGGCAGGCUAGAGUCUUGUAGAGGGGGGUAGAAUUCCAGGUGUAGCGGUGAAAUGCGUAGAGAUCUGGAGGAAUACCGGUGGCGAAGGCGGCCCCCUGGACAAAGACUGACGCUCAGGUGCGAAAGCGUGGGGAGCAAACAGGAUUAGAUACCCUGGUAGUCCACGCCGUAAACGAUGUCGACUUGGAGGUUGUGCCCUUGAGGCGUGGCUUCCGGAGCUAACGCGUUAAGUCGACCGCCUGGGGAGUACGGCCGCAAGGUUAAAACUCAAAUGAAUUGACGGGGGCCCGCACAAGCGGUGGAGCAUGUGGUUUAAUUCGAUGCAACGCGAAGAACCUUACCUACUCUUGACAUCCAGAGAACUUUCCAGAGAUGGAUUGGUGCCUUCGGGAACUCUGAGACAGGUGCUGCAUGGCUGUCGUCAGCUCGUGUUGUGAAAUGUUGGGUUAAGUCCCGCAACGAGCGCAACCCUUAUCCUUUGUUGCCAGCGGUUAGGCCGGGAACUCAAAGGAGACUGCCAGUGAUAAACUGGAGGAAGGUGGGGAUGACGUCAAGUCAUCAUGGCCCUUACGAGUAGGGCUACACACGUGCUACAAUGGCGCAUACAAAGAGAAGCGACCUCGCGAGAGCAAGCGGACCUCAUAAAGUGCGUCGUAGUCCGGAUUGGAGUCUGCAACUCGACUCCAUGAAGUCGGAAUCGCUAGUAAUCGUGGAUCAGAAUGCCACGGUGAAUACGUUCCCGGGCCUUGUACACACCGCCCGUCACACCAUGGGAGUGGGUUGCAAAAGAAGUAGGUAGCUUAACCUUCGGGAGGGCGCUUACCACUUUGUGAUUCAUGACUGGGGUGAAGUCGUAACAAGGUAACCGUAGGGGAACCUGCGGUUGGAUCACCUCCUUA